AACGAACGCUGGCGGCAUGCCUAACACAUGCAAGUCGCACGAGACCUUCGGGUCUGGUGGCGCACGGGUGCGUAACGCGUGGGAACCUGCCCUUAGGUUCGGAAUAACUCCCCGAAAGGGGUGCUAAUACCGGAUAAUGUCUUCGGACCAAAGAUUUAUCGCCUUUGGAUGGGCCCGCGUUGGAUUAGCUAGUUGGUAGGGUAAAAGCCUACCAAGGCGACGAUCCAUAGCUGGUCUGAGAGGAUGAUCAGCCACACUGGGACUGAGACACGGCCCAGACUCCUACGGGAGGCAGCAGUGGGGAAUAUUGGACAAUGGGCGAAAGCCUGAUCCAGCAAUGCCGCGUGAGUGAUGAAGGCCUUAGGGUUGUAAAGCUCUUUUACCCGGGAUGAUAAUGACAGUACCGGGAGAAUAAGCUCCGGCUAACUCCGUG
rnacentral:rRNA from 1 species